rnacentral:rRNA from 1 species
CGGAUUUACUGGGUGUAAAGCGUCUCUAGGCGGCUUAAUAAAUUUUUAGUUAAAUCUUUGGGCUUAACCUAAAGUUUGCUAAAAACACUGUUAAGCUAGAGACCGGGAGAGGCCAGUGGANNAGCCGGUGUAGUAGUUAAAUGCGUUAAUAUCGGCUAGAACACCAAAAGCGAAGGCAACUGGCUAGAACGGUUCUGACGCUCAUAAGACGAAAGCGUGGGUAGCGAAUGGGAUUAGAUACCCCAGUAGUCCACGCUGUAAACGAAGGGCACUAAGCAUUGGAAGUAUCGACCCUUACAGUGCUGUUUAACUAAGCUAACGCCUUAAGUGCCCCACCUGGGGAGUACGGCCGCAAGGCUAAAACUCAAAGGAAUUGACGGGAGUCCGCACAAGCGGUGGAGCAUGUGGUUUAAUUCGACGAUAAGCGGGGAACCUUACCAGGCUUGACAUCCCAAGAAUUUUGCCGAAAGUAAAAUUGCCGCAAGGAACUUGGUGACAGUUGCUGCAUGUUGUCCUCACUCGU